UCGCGGAUCAGCACGCCGCGGUGAAUACGUUCCCGGGCCUUGUACACACCGCCCGUCACACCAUGGAAGUCUGCAAUGCCCGAAGCCGGUGGCCUAACCACUUAUGUGGAAGGAGCCGUCUAAGGCAGGGCAGAUGACUGGGGUGAAGUCGUAACAAGGUACC
rnacentral:rRNA from 1 species